GACGAACGCUGGCGGCGUGCUUAACACAUGCAAGUCGAACGGAAAGGCCCUGCUUGCAGGGUACUCGAGUGGCGAACGGGUGAGUAACACGUGGGUGAUCUGCCCUGCACUUCGGGAUAAGCCUGGGAAACUGGGUCUAAUACCGGAUAGGAGCCAUUUUUAUUGUGAUGGUUGGAAAGUUUUUUCGGUGUAGGAUGAGCUCGCGGCCUAUCAGCUUGUUGGUGGGGUAAUGGCCUACCAAGGCGGCGACGGGUAGCCGGCCUGAGAGGGUGGACGGCCACAUUGGGACUGAGAUACGGCCCAGACUCCUACGGGAGGCAGCAGUGGGGAAUAUUGCACAAUGGGCGCAAGCCUGAUGCAGCGACGACGCGUGGGGGAUGACGGCCUUCGGGUUGUAAACUCCUUUCGCUAGGGACGAAGCUUUUUGUGACGGUACCUAGAUAAGAAGCACCGGCUAACUACGUG
rnacentral:rRNA from 1 species